GCGGCCAUAGCUCAGCUGGAUAGAGCACCGGUCUACGGAACCGGGGGUCGAAAGUUCGAAUCUUUCUGGCCGCGCCA
rnacentral:tRNA from 1 species